UCUCAGUUCGGAUCGGAGUCUNCAACCCGACUCCGUGAAGCUGGAUUCGCUAGUAAUCGCGCAUCAGCCAUGGCGCGGUGAAUACGUUCCCGGGCCUUGUACACACCGCCCGUCAAGCCAUGGGAGCCGGGGGUGCUUGAAGUGCGUCGCCGCAAGGCGCGCCCUAGAGCAAAACCGGUGACUGGGGCUAAGUCGUAACAAGGUAAC
rnacentral:rRNA from 1 species